rnacentral:rRNA from 1 species
GGGCAGCAUGGUCUUAGCUUGCUAAGGCUGAUGGCGACCGGCGCACGGGUGAGUAACACGUAUCCAACCUGCCGUCUACUCUUGGCCAGCCUUCUGAAAGGAAGAUUAAUCCAGGAUGGCAUCAUGAGUUCACAUGUCCGCAUGAUUAAAGGUAUUUUCCGGUAGACGAUGGGGAUGCGUUCCACUAGAUAGUAGGCGGGGUAACGGCCCACCUAGUCAACGAUGGAUAGGGGUUCUGAGGGGAAGGUCCCCCACAUUGGAACUGAGACACGGUCCAAACUCCUACGGGAGGCAGCAGUGAGGAAUAUUGGUCAAUGGGCGAUGGCCUGAACCAGCCAAGUAGCGUGAAGGAUGACUGCCCUAUGGGUUGUAAACUUCUUUUAUAAAGGAAUAAAGUCGGGUAUGCAUACCCGUUUGCAUGUACUUUAUGAAUAAGGAUCGGCUAACUCCGUGCCAGCAGCCGCGGUAAUACGGAGGAUCCGAGCGUUAUCCGGAUUUAUUGGGUUUAAAGGGAGCGUAGAUGGAUGUUUAAGUCAGUUGUGAAAGUUUGCGGCUCAACCGUAAAAUUGCAGUUGAUACUGGAUGUCUUGAGUGCAGUUGAGGCAGGCGGAAUUCGUGGUGUAGCGGUGAAAUGCUUAGAUAUCACGAAGAACUCCGAUUGCGAAGGCAGCCUG